UGCGGGGUCGUCUAAUGGCAAGACACCGGCCUCUGGAGCCGGGUAUCGGGGUUCGAGUCCCUGCCCCGCAG
rnacentral:tRNA from 1 species